UACAGAGGUCUCGAGCGUUGUUCGGAUUCAUUGGGCGUAAAGGGUGCGUAGGCGGCGUGGCAAGUCUGCUGUGAAAUCCCGGGGCUCAACCCCGGAACUGCAUUGGAUACUGCCAUGCUAGAGUACUGGAGAGGAGAUUGGAAUUUACGGUGUAGCAGUGAAAUGCGUAGAUAUCGUAAGGAAGACCAGUGGCGAAGGCGAAUCUCUGGACAGUUACUGACGCUGAGGCACGAAGGCCAGGGGAGCAAACGGG
rnacentral:rRNA from 1 species